AUGCUCUUGGACGCCAUGAUGAUGGAGGCCAGGAAGGGGUUGAUGGAGAGGGAGAGGGAGAGGGACCAGUUCCCCGUCGGCAUGCGGGUCCUCGCCGUCGACGACGACCCUGUGUGCCUCAAGGUUCUGGAGGUCCUCCUCCGGCGCUGCCAGUAUCAUGUAACAACCACCAACCAGGCUGCCACUGCACUGAGGCUGUUAAGGGAGAACAAGGACAUGUUUGACCUGGUCAUCAGCGACGUCCACAUGCCCGACAUGGACGGCUUCAAGCUCCUCGAGCUCGUGGGGCUCGAAAUGGACCUCCCUGUCAUCAUGUUAUCGGUGAACGGAGAGACAAAAUCUGUGCUCAAGGGGAUAACCCAUGGCGCCUGCGACUACCUCCUAAAGCCCGUUCGGAUCGAAGAGCUCAGGAACGUGUGGCAGCACGUCGUUAGGAGGAAGUUCAGCAACCGUGAGCCGAACAACAACCAUGACCUCUGCAAGGAGAUCAGCAAGCCGCCGAGCGCGGACUCGUACCACCGGCUCGGCCAGGCGACGUGCGGCAUGUCGUCCGACCAGAGCAACAGGGCCGGCAAGAAGCGGAAGGAGCCGCACAGCGAGGAGGAAGACGAAGGCGAGGACAACGACGACGCCGCGGGGUCGAAGAAGCCGAGGGUGGUGUGGUCAGUGGAGCUGCACCGGAAGUUCGUCGCCGCCGUCAACCAGCUCGGGAUCGACAAGGCUGUACCCAAACGAAUACUCGAGCUUAUGAACGUGGAGAAGCUCACCAGGGAAAAUGUUGCGAGCCAUCUGCAGAAGUACAGGCUAUACCUCAGACGGCUAAGUGCCGUGGCAUCACAGCAAGCCAGCAUUGCUGCUGCUUUUGGAGGCAGAGACCCCUUCUUGCACAUGGGAGCAUUUGAAGGACUUCAUAGUUAUCAUCAACCCUUUGCCCCUCCUGCUGCUCUUCCAUCUCUCAAUCCACAUGGACUGCUGAGUGGUGCUGGUGCAGCAGCAUUUGGGCUUCAGGACCUUGCUUCUCCCAAGGCAAACCAGUGUUCUAGCAGCAACGGCGCAGUAAGUCAUUGCGCCGGCGAUACGGAGAAGUUCCACAUUGUGAGCUUACAAGACAACCAACAGGCAGAUUUAUCGCAAGGCUUGACCUCGUCGCUUGGGCAGCCCCAGCUCCAUCAGAAGUGGAUUCAUCAAGAAACCAGUGACUUGUGCUCUGUCUUUUCCGGGGGUGCUCUGGCUAACACUAUGUCUGGCACACUUCAAAGAGUUACAAGCAGUUCACUGCCACCAGAAGAUCUUUUGGAGUGCACUGCACACAUCAAAGUUGGAGCCCAUCCAUCAAUAGGAAUACCAACUGGGAGUUCAGGGCUGCUUGAAAGGUCUGUCGGAGUUUCCGCCGAUUUGCGGGAUUCUUGUAUAUCUCAGCAGUGUGCUCUUCCAAUCAGUGAUGGGUUUUCUGUCGACAAGUUACCGUUGCACAUCCCGUUCGAUGGUACCGGCACGACAAAACUUGAUGCUAGCUUUGUGGCUGGAGAACAAGAGAUGGACCAAAAGGGGAUAUUUUCGGAAAGAAUGGCUGUUACUGUUUGUCCUUCUGAGAGCCUUAUAGUAGCCAGCAAUGCCAAAUGUGGAGCUAGUUCUUGUGGUAGUACAAUGCUGCUCCCUCCUCAUGAUACCGAGAAACAUUCAAAAUACUUGCAGUUUGUGGUUGCAAGCAACUCUAGACAUAGAAUGGAUGGUGGAAUGAGACAAGACCAAAGACUGAACAGUGGAGGUUUUAGCUAUGAUGGUGGUGCCAUUGUGCCUGAGCAGACCGAUAUGUACGAUUUGGGAGUUCCAAAGCUGCAGGGUGGAUUCAAUUCUAGCAGCUGCAACUUUGAUGGUCUUCUCAAUUCCAUGAUAAAAGUGGAGAGCGACGAAGUGCCGUUCACGGAAAAUGACCUCGGGUGUGAACUUUUCCCACUUGGUGCCUGCAUAUGA
rnacentral:rRNA from 1 species